GGGUCUUUAGCUCAGUGGCAGAGCAUUUGACUGCAGAUCAAGAGGUCACCGGUUCAAACUCGGUAGGGCCCU
rfam:Ipomoea nil DNA, scaffold: scaffold0878, cultivar: Tokyo-kokei standard.